rnacentral:rRNA from 1 species
UACAGAGGGUGCGAGCGUUAAUCGGAAUUACUGGGCGUAAAGCGUGCGUAGACGGUUAUUUAAGUCAGAUGUGAAAGCCCCGGGCUCAACCUGGGAAUUGCAUUUGAGACUGAAUAGCUAGGGUGCGGUAGAGGGAAGCGGAAUUUCCGGUGUAGCGGUGAAAUGCGCAGAUAUCGGGAGGAACACCAGUAGCGAAGGCGGCACUCUGGGCCGGUACUGACGCUGAGGAGCGAAAGCGUGGGGAGCGAACAGG